rnacentral:piRNA from 1 species
UUUCAAGUAUUGUCAAUAAGG